UACGAAGGGGGCUAGCGUUGUCCGGAUUGACUGGGCGUAAAGGGCGCGUAGGCGGUUCGUACAGUCAGACGUGAAAUUCCUGGGCUCAACCUGGGGGCUGCGUUUGAUACGUGCGGACUUGAGUGCGGAAGAGGGUCGUGGAAUUCCCAGUGUAGAGGUGAAAUUCGUAGAUAUUGGGAAGAACACCGGUGGCGAAGGCGGCGACCUGGUCCGAUACUGACGCUGAGGCGCGAAAGCGUGGGGAGCAAACAGG
rnacentral:rRNA from 1 species